UUCCUUUUCAAAAUGUAUAUUUUCAUGAAUUUAAAAAUUAUGUAUUACAAAAUGUAAUUGAAUGCAUAUAUUCAAGAAGAUUACAAGUCUCAAGAUAUGUCAAUUUUUCAGGAAAUUGGGUGCCAGGUCAAAAAAUUAAUUUUUUGAUUUUCUGUGAAAAUUUUUAUUAUACAAAUUUCAUCUUCUGGAAUAAUUUAGUUCAAAUCUAGAACAACCUGGAACUUUUAAAAUUUUGAAAUUCCAAAAUUGAGUGCUUUAUGCACAUAUUCAACUAGUGUUCAACAUUAAAGCUGGAUUCUGUAAUUAAAAUGAAUUUAAUCGACAAGAAAUUUUUUGUCAAAUGAUAAGAUUUGGAAGAAAAGACUGAGAGAUUGAAAGGAAUCUAAGGAAAAUCACAGAAU